UACGUAGGGUCCGAGCGUUGUCCGGAAUUACUGGGCGUAAAGAGCUCGUAGGUGGUUUGUCGCGUUGUUCGUGAAAACUCACAGCUCAACUGUGGGCGUGCGGGCGAUACGGGCAGACUUGAGUACUGCAGGGGAGACUGGAAUUCCUGGUGUAGCGGUGGAAUGCGCAGAUAUCGGGAGGAACACCAGCGGCGAAGGCGGCACUCUGGGCUGGUACUGACGCUGAGGAGCGAAAGCGUGGGUAGCAAACAGG
rnacentral:rRNA from 1 species